CUUGAUUAAAAAAAAACAACAGAAAAUUGUAGAAAGCUUAUAAAUAAAAUAAACAUAACUUUUAGAACAUUUUAGAUCGUCAACCCUUCAGUGACUACACAAGUAAUGGUGGUCACAAUAAACCCUAUAUGAAAAACAUUAAGUUAUAAUACCUGUCUAAUCAAUAAGUGACUCAUUGGUAUAAUGAAGAACACAUUGAACAGCUUGACAUAUAUAUAUAAAAAAAAAAAAGAAAGAUGGUAUAAAGUUUGAAUAAUUGACAUGUAACAAAGAGAAAGAUGGUUGUCACAUAAAAAAACCUAUCAAAAUUGUUUAAACAUCAACACAUUUUUUACCUUCAGAUUUAGUCUCAAAAGCACUGUAAAUGUUCAGGGGAAUAUUCUUGAAGGUAUUUUUAGGUCUCCACUAUAUAAGGAACAAUAACAGUAAAAAGUCCAUAAGUUUUGCAAUUGAUGUUAAUCUAGUUCUAGUUGUGAAAGUACAGAAUUGUAAUAGCCAGACAAUACCAGCAGCACAAAGCUUGCAUGCGACACACGCCAUACACAAGUGUCUAAUUACAAGGUUCUCAAGCUAACUUGUACAAAAUACAUUUUAAAAAUAAACCAGACAUGAACAUCAGAAAUGUAAGAAGUAAUAAAUUCAUGAAAUUGACACAAUUUGAGAUUCAAGGAAGCUAUGUGUUUUGAAAUAUGGCAAGGUCAGAGAAUAAUAAACAAAUACAUUGUCUCAACCUAAUAAGCUAUGUGUUUUGAAAUAUGGCAAGGUCAGAGAAUGAUAAACAAAUACAUUGUCUCAACCUAAGAAGCUAUAUGUUUUGAAAUAUGGCAAGGCCAGAGAAUGAUAAACAAAUACAUUGUCUCAACCUAAAGGAAGCUAAGUGUUUUGAAAUAUGGCAAGGCCAGAGA